rnacentral:rRNA from 1 species
GACGAACGCUGGCGGCGUGCUUAACACAUGCAAGUCGAACGGAAAGGCCUUUUCGGAGGUACUCGAGUGGCGAACGGGUGAGUAACACGUGGGUGAUCUGCCCUGCACUCUGGGAUAAGCCUGGGAAACUGGGUCUAAUACCGGAUAGGACCGCACUUUAGUGUGUGUGGUGGAAAGUUUUUUCGGUGUAGGAUGAGCCCGCGGCCUAUCAGCUUGUUGGUGGGGUAAUGGCCUACCAAGGCGGCGACGGGUAGCCGGACUGAGAGGUUGGUCGGCCACAUUGGGACUGAGAUACGGCCCAGACUCCUACGGGAGGCAGAAGUGGGGAAUAUUGCACAAUGGGCGCAAGCCUGAUGCAGCGACGCCGCGUGGGGGAUGACGGCCUUCGGGUUGUAAACUCCUUUCGCCAGGGACGAAGCGUUUUGUGACGGUACCUGGAGAAGAAGCACCGGCUAACUACGUG